AGAUAGAUAGAGAAAGAGAGAGAGAGAUGGGAAGAGGGAGGAACUCAUUGCUUGCUCUGUUUGGCCUCAAGAGGAUGCACGACCAAGGAGAGGAAGAGGCUGAGCCCAGGCAUUCAAGAAAGGUUCGACCUGGGGACGGAGAUGGACUGCAUUGGUAUGGCGAGCACGACGUAGACGUGAAGGCUAAGGAAUACAUCGACAAAGUCCACCGGAACUUGGCCAUGGACAGGCAAGACAUGGAGGCCAAAGAGUUCAUCGACAAGGUCCACCGGAAGAUGAAGCUGGAGAGCAAAGCUGGUGCCCCCUGAUGGCAUGAAGCUGGCGAUGCAUGCAGCACAAUCUUCAGUCCCACCAUGCUUCGUCUUCUUUCUCGUUGAAUAAACCCCGUUGUGAAACUACAUAGAUAUACGUACGUUAUGUAAAUAGACAUACAAGCAUAUGCUUCAUCAUAUGAUGUAGGUGAUCAUUAUUAGAAUAAAGCUCCAUGUCUUUUGGCUGUGUAAGGUAUUCCUUUGAGAUCUAUGAUCAUUAUUAGAAUAAAGCUCCGUGUCUUUUGGCUGUGUAAGGUAUUCCUUUGAGAUCUAUGGAGGAAUCAACUCGAGAGCAUGAUGACAGGCAAAGAUGCUUGAGGAGAGCACAUGCUUCUGACAAGCCACGUUGCUGGCAUUAGAUCAACAGUGUAGAGGUGAUGGUGGGUAAUAUUAAUAAGGCUUGUAAUGAGCAUAAUCUCAUGUUUUCUCAGUUACUUAAUCUUCCACAUUUCAUGAUUGCAAUCCUAUCCAUGUAAGAUGGAUAAAACUCCAGAGAGGUAUCCUCGACUUGUUACCUAUCAAGACUAAACAUCAUCAUAAUGCAGUAACCAUUGCAUGAUCACUCUCUCUUGCUGCAGUGUAAUGGAAUAGACUAAGGAAUAUAACUAGACUCCAAUCCUGUAAGUACACCAAGUUGUACCUCCCUCAACUGAGCAUUGUUCCUCAAAGACAACAACUUUGGCCAUUGAUUUUUUGGUGAUCAUCACUCACUCUGUACAGAGUGUAGGCAGUGAUCAAAGUACGAUUUGCCGGGAAUCUCAUGGGUGACAAGAACAUAUCACGUGGAUGAAGGCAAGGUCUUUGCUUUUGCUCAGCUUAAACUAAUGGCAAUCAUUGGAAUACGGCAUUAAUUACCUCUGGAGAAGUAAGAGAAGCUCAAACAAUUCAUCCAUG
rnacentral:lncRNA from 1 species